CCUACGGGAGGCUGCAGUGAGGAAUAUUGGUCAAUGGACGAGAGUCUGAACGAGCCAAGUAGCGUGAAGGAUGACUGCCCUAUGGGUUGUAAACUUCUUUUAUAUGGGAAUAAAAUGUUCCACGUGUGGGAUUUUGUAUGUACCAUAUGAAUAAGGAUCGGCUAACUCCGUGCCAGCAGCCGCGGUAAUACGGAGGAUCCGAGCGUUAUCCGGAUUUAUUGGGUUUAAAGGGAGCGUAGGCGGAUUGUUAAGUCAGUGGUGAAAGUUUGGGGCUCAACCGUAAAAUUGCAGUUGAAACUGGCAGUCUAGAGUACAGUAGAGGUGGGCGGAAUGCGUGGUGUAGCGGUGAAAUGCUUAGAUAUCACGAAGAACUCCGAUUGCGAAGGCAGCUCACUGGACUGCAACUGACACUGAGGCUCGAAAGUGUGGGUAUCAAACAGGAUUAGAUACCCGAGUAGUC
rnacentral:rRNA from 1 species